CCUUUGGCUCAGUUGGUAGAGCAACUGACUCUUAAUCAGUGGGUCGGGGGUUCGAGUCCCCCAAGG
rnacentral:tRNA from 1 species